UACGUAGGGUGCGAGCGUUAAUCGGAAUUACUGGGCGUAAAGCGUGCGCAGGCGGCUUUGCAAGACAGAUGUGAAAUCCCCGGGCUCAACCUGGGAACUGCAUUUGUGACUGCAAGGCUAGAGUACGGCAGAGGGGGAUGGAAUUCCGCGUGUAGCAGUGAAAUGCGUAGAUAUGCGGAGGAACACCAAUGGCGAAGGCAAUCCCCUGGGCCUGUAAUGACGCUCAUGCACGAAAGCAUGGGGAGCAAACAGG
rnacentral:rRNA from 1 species